AUAAGAAAACUGUUUAGCUAGAAGAGUAAAGGGGUGGCUAGAACUCUACAAGUAGCGGUGAAAUGCGUUGAUAUGUAGGGGAAUACCAAAAGCGUAGGCAGGCCACUAGGUACUUCUUGACACUGCAUGAACGAAAGCGUGGGUAGCGAAUGGGAUUAGAUACCCCAGUAGUCCACGCCCUAAACGAUGAGUGCUUGCUUUUAGGAGGAGUCAAUCCCUCUUGGAGGCAAAAGCUAACGCUAUAAGCACUCCGCCUGCAGAGUACGGUCGCAAGACUAAAACGUAAAGGAAUUGACGGGAACCCGCACAAGCGGUGGAUCGUGCGGUUUAAUUCGACUCUAAACGAGAAACCUCACCAAGGUUUGACAUGUAACUGCAAACUCUAUGAAAGUAGAGCUUCUUCGAGAGUGUUACACAGAUGAUGCACGGUCGUCGUCAGCUCGUGUCGUGAGAUGUUCGGUUAAGUCCGAAAACGAGCGCAACCCUUAUCUUUAGUUAUUUAAUGUCUAAAGAGACUGCCUGGGUUUAACCAGGAGGAAGGCAGGGAUGACGUCAGAUCAGCGUGUCUCUUACACCUUGGGCUACACGCACGAUACAAUGGGCAUGGUACAACGGGACGCCAAGCGGUAACGCGGAGCAAAUCCUAUAAAACCACCCCAAGUACGGAUUGAGGUCUGAAACUCGACCUCAUGAAGCUGGAAUCGCUAGUAAUCGCAAAUCAUCAUGUUGCGGUGAAUACGUUCUCGGGUUUUGUACACACUGCCCGUCAUGGCCUGGAAAUUGAAAGAGCCCCAAAGCAUCGAUUACGGUGUGGAAGGCUAAGUCAAGAACUGGGUUAAAGUCGUAACAAGGUAACC
rnacentral:rRNA from 1 species